rnacentral:tRNA from 1 species
GGGGAUUUGGCUCAGUGGUAGAGCGCUUACCUAGCAAGCACAAGGCCCUGGGUUCAAUCCCCAGCUCCG